ensembl:lncRNA
CUGUUCCUGGAUGCAUUCAAGGCCAGGCUGGAUGUGGCUCUGGGCAGCCUGGUCUAGCGGUUGGUGACCCUGCACAUAGCAGGGGGGUUGAAACUAGGUGAUCAUUGUGGUCCUGUUCAACCCAGGCCAUUCCAUGAUUCUAUUACUCUACAAUUCUAUGAUUCUAUUGUUUCCUUAAUAGAGUGUUGUUUUUUAGCUCAUUAAUACAAUUUUCACUGGGUGAUUUAAUCACUCAUAUGCAGAGGAGGUUUGUUUUUCUGUGUGUCUACGUAUGGCUCAUUAAUGGCUUGUUUCCUAGCAUUGUUUGCCAACUUUAAUUUAGUCACUUUUCCUAGUAUAACCAAAUAGUAGAUGGAAUACAUUCUUCUUAACAUGUUUUAUAAUCACUGCUCAGCUUAUGGCAACAACAAAGGAUGCAAAAGAUAUUGGCCCUAGGUGUCUAUUUCAAGCAAAUAUGUUAGUAUCCAGUAUUUUUUUUUUAACAUAUAGCAAACCAAAAUAAGCAUAGAAUACACUAACAUAUAGCUUAUGAAGAUCAGCAGCUAUUUAGGUUGCCAACCCCUCUGAUUCUUCUAAGUGUUUUAUUUAAAUGUUUAUUCUGCAAAUAAGAAUUUGAACCUAAAUCCUUAGUAACUACUCUAAAAGUCAAACUAAUGAAUAAUUCAUACUUAUUCUUUUCUUCUCUACAGCUUAAGUACUUGUUUAUGUCAGGAAAAAAGAAUUAAAUAUAUCAGGGAAACUGAAAAUUCCCUAUUACACAAAAUUCUAUCACAUUUAAUAUUUUCCUGUGGAUGUGAAGUCGAAACCUCAGAGAGAACAAGUUUUCACACCCUGGGACAAGAAAUCAGUAAAAUAAUAACUAGCUGAUGCCAAAUCUCCAUUCUUAACUUAACCAGAGAACAGGUACAUGCUUGCAAAUUCCAUCGGGGGGAUAAGAACUUCCUUAAAAUAGUGAAUAAGCGACCAUAGUCUACAAAGCAGUUAUAUUAAUACAUUCUCUUUUGACAUUAUCCUUUUGACUGUCAUUGGCAUUUCACUGCUUUAGUAGGCUGUCUUUCCUGUCUCCAGAUUUUAGAUGCUUCAUUACUCCUAGGCAUGAUGUUAAGAAGUAAUCACCUCAUUCAUGCAAAUAGAUUCUAGGAAUCAAAGAGGCCAGAACUUUGUUGCUGCAAUAAUCAGUCUUCCGGGACUUGGUUGUUUUCUGAAUCUAGUUCCCAGGCUCUGUGACUAUGUUGAGAGAGAAUAGCUCUUCCCCACUUUUCAGAAAUAAAAAUGAAUCAGAAUAAAAACGGAAAAGAUUGUAAGGUGACUCGAUGUCUUAGGUGUCAUAUAUUAUUUCAUCAUUUAGCAGAUUUACUCAAGAGGGCGAUAUUAAGACAGAAGAAAAUUUGACAGCACUUACCACAUAUCCUGGUUAUUAAUUUCUUGACGUCUUAGAAAGGAACACAAAAUAGAGUGACGGUUUCCCCUCAGUGGGAAUUUGAGCGUCAAGAAGUCUUCAAGUAAAGAGAUAAAUAAUCCUUUUUGUACGUUCUUUAUAAAGAGAGAAUAAUCUGAUUUUCUAUGAGUUCAUAAAUCUAAUUUGUGACAGUCCAAAAAUAUUCAUGGUUUAUGUAGUGUUACUGUUAUUGCUGUCACUAUCAUCAUUACUGUUACUAUUGCUAUUGUGAUUACAGUUCCUACUAGAAUUAUUUGAAUUAUUGUUAUCUCAUCUUAGUAUUCAUUCAUGAACAGGGAUCUUCUUUUCUUAUUUUCAUUUUCUGAUUUAAGGCUGAAACUUCUCUUUAUUUUUUCAUCUUGAAUACUUCAGUAAUUCACUUGUUCUCAGCCUAUGAAAAAGGAAGGAUUCCCAAAUUCUGCUCCGAAUCUUUUGAUCUGUAAGAUGAAACUGCCUCUUUCCUCUUUUCCCAUAGACACCUUCAUUCAUACAUACUUAUGUAACCAGAAACAAACAAACAAAAAACAAAAACAUUCAAAGAAUGUUUAAGGUGGCUAAGAAAAACAAACAAAAGGAAAUGUUAGUCAAAGAUGAAAGGUACCAUAUGUCCUCCAAAGCCUUGGUACAAUGGGGAUCCACCUAAACAGCUUUUAUAAUGCACCCUGUCGUGGCUAGGUAUUGAAAGACAUAUGGUGCAUCUCAUCCUGAACUGUGAAUUUCCUGAAACAGCUGUAACGUUCUUUUAAUGUUUUUUUCUGGAUAAUGAUACUUUCACAGUUUAUUCUAUUUAGCCAUUUUUCCUGAAUGGUUAAGAGGGCCCAUCUUCUAUAUCAGUCCAUAGAAAAGUUGCAACAGUGUAUCAUUUAUCUUCUGGUUGCAUAAUUUUGUCUUUUUCACAGAAAUUAUUACACACAGGCUUGAAGUUUUUGGUCACUGUGCACAGUGAGACAUCCAUUCAAGGUUUCUGCCUUCUGUUAAGAUUAUGAAUAGGAACAAUACACAGACAGGCACAGAGUUAAUCAGGAAAUUAUCUCUUUGUUUUUGUAGUGGUACAUUUCAUUUUCCUAUUCUUAUUUUUGUAAGAUAAUUAGGGAAAAUUGCA